UUCGGUCUUUUAAAGUUAGGUUUCAAUUGGUGUUUAUCAGUCUAUAGGAGUCGUUUGUAUGUUCUCUUUAGAACUCUGCGUCGUUUUCGGUCACUUUUUUGCCACCCCUUUGAGCCGAAUCUUUUUUUUUGUAGAAGCGUUAACUAGAAAAGGGACAUCACGGGUUUCUUGGUAUUGUAUGUGCUGGGACGUCGUGUCAGCUAACCACGGGCCCGUCGUACUCGUUCGAGCUGAUGACGAAGUCGUUACUGAUGUACCACGACGCGGGCCUGUCCCGGUCGGGCAAGCUGGAGGACGUGGAGGAGAAGAGCGGGUUCCAGCCGGCCUUGUUCCGGCAGCUGACGAAGUGGUCGUGGCUCUAGGCGUCGAAGGGGGCGGCCGAGCGGGAGAAGGAGUUGGAGGAGGACGUCUAGGAGGAGGAGAGCGAGCGGCCGGGGCACCGGCGGUAGCCGCGGCGGCAGCUCGAGCGCGAGUUGAAGCAGCUGUUGCAGGAGGUGCCCUUCUACCUCAUAGGCCUGUCUAGCAGCCGCAGUAUGGCCAGCGACUGCCCCGAGUAGCUGGCCGCUCAGCUAGAACUGUCCUCGUAGCGCGGCCGCCUGUCGGCCGUGGUGCGGCGCGACACGCAGUACCGUAGGUUCCACCGCAUGCUCUUGCUCCGAAAGUAAGCGCUGCACCAGUGGGCGGCGACCGUCUACCUCAAGCAGUUCAAGAUGUUGACGACCUUGCUCAAGCUCCCGCGCAUGUGCCGCGUCCGCAAGCACAAGACGCUGUUCCGCCCCGGCCUGCGCCUCGACCAUCACCACCGCAAGGCCCCCUGCGGCCGCAAGCUGCGCCGCGCCACCGCGCGGCUGGACCUGGGCAGCACCAUGUUCCACGGCGCCGAGCCCGCGCGCGUGCGGCGGAUGUGCGUGCGCGACCCGCGCGUCGCGUUGUACCCCACCGGGUUCACCCACCUCGUGUAGUUCCCGUUCGGGGUCUUCCACAUGCGCAUGAUGUGGUAGGCGCUGCGGCAGUUCCCCGAGGACCUCCGCUCGGGCUUCCGCUCCGACGACCACUGGCCCGUGCCCUCGCCGCCGCGCGACCGGCACGACAAGCGCUGCCAGUACCGCAUGGUGGCCCUCUUCCGCCACUACCUGGCCGACCGGCCCCACAUGUGCAAGCCCGUCGGCGUCCACCCGCUGCGGUACGAGCGGUACAAGCGCCUCGCCUUGGACCUGUCCGGGUUCUUCGCCGUGAAGGCCAAGUGGAUGCGGCCGCUGGGCGACGGCGCCGACGGGCCGCAGCCUAGGGGGCGGGUAAAGGACGUGAAGCCCGAGACGGAGGUGAAGCUGCAAAGGAUGUUGGAGUUCCACAAGUGCCUCUAUGGCCCGCUCUGCCGCUCGGGAAGCAGCAGCCGCCGCCCCAAGCACCGCUCGGCCCACUUGCGCCGCGCCCUCGACCGCGCCUCGCGCAUGGACCCUAUGGCCUCCCCGCCGAUGAAGGCCCUUCCCACCCUCGACGACGACUACGCGCACGACCGCCACCGCGACGGGCCGGACGGCAAGGUGUCCCGCGUGCUGAUGCAGUUGCCGCAGCGCGAGCGGCGCGCGUAAGGGUUCCUGCUCACUGCCUACGCGCACGGUACCGGAACUGAUGAUACUACUACCUACUACGUGGGCAUACACAGGUACGGGCAUCGCACGUCUCUACAAGUCAAGACAUAGGAGGUCGUCACCGUAGUUGACGUGGAAUGCAUGAUGAUGAUCAAGACACUAGAACGAUUACACGCACACUCAUGGUCACGCACACAACUCGACAUACUUGUGAACAAUACGGACACUUCACUUAUUCUUCAAGUUACUUCAUACACGUCUAAUAAACCGUAGAAGAACACACGGC
rnacentral:rRNA from 1 species